rnacentral:lncRNA from 1 species
GGGGACCAUGUUAAAAAUUUCUUACUAAGUUCGUUGAGUUCAUGUAAUUUUUAGUAGGGUAAUAAUGUAGUUUGACGACAUCAUGUACAUAAGAUAUAAUAGGGAAUACUUAAUUGUAUUUCAUUAAUUCGAUGUAACCAUAAACAAUGUUUUAUUGUAAUAUAAAUAUAACAUAAGUUGAACAGAAAUACAAGUUCUGUAGUCUACUUCAAAGCGAUAUAUGGGUGUUAACAUUACAUAUACAUCCAUUAAUUUGCACUUCUACAGCAAUGUCAUGGACGACAAUGCUUCGACGAAAAGCAAAUGCUCCGACGAAAAGCAAAUCACCACCCAAACCACUAAAGUGAUGGUCCGAGAACGACAAUGCUCCGACGACGAUGACGACACGAAAGAGGUUUCGCCACGCACCCACAACGACAAUGAUGGUCCGAGAACGAGAACAACCUUUCACAAUGACGAGCCCUGAGAAAAACCCAAAACACUAAAGUGAUGGUCCGAGAACGAGAAUGCUCCGACGACGAUAACGACACGAAAGAGGUUUCGCCACACACCCACAACGACAACGACGGUCCAACAACGAGAAUAACCUUUCACAAUGACAACGCCUGAGAAAGCAUGGAGAAGGAGGCCCGCGAAGAGAGGAAGGNAGAUGAGAGAACCGUCAGAGAGCACGAAAAUGAAAAAUGAAAGAGAGCGCCAAAACUAAAACCCCACACCCAACAUUCCAUCUUUGCCCCUCACUUAUUCCAUCUUUGCCCCUCAGCAGUUUAAACAAUGUAAUUUUUCAAAAAUAAAAAACCACCCAAUCAGACAACGACAC